GAUGAACGCUGGCGGCGUGCCUAAUACAUGCAAGUCGAGCGAACGGACGAGAAGCUUGCUUCUCUGAUGUUAGCGGCGGACGGGUGAGUAACACGUGGAUAACCUACCUAUAAGACUGGGAUAACUUCGGGAAACCGUAGCUAAUACCGGAUAAUAUUUUGAACCGCAUGGUUCAAUAGUGAAAGACGGUCUUGCUGUCACUUAUAGAUGGAUCCGCGCUGCAUUAGCUAGUUGGUAAGUUAACGGCUUACCAAGGCAACGAUGCAUAGCCGACCUGAGAGGCGGAUCGGCCACACUGGAACUGAGACACGCUCCAGGCUCCUGCGGGAGGCAGCAGUAGGCAAUCUGCCGCAAAGGGCGAAAGCCUGACGGAGCAGCGCCGCGUGAGUGAUGAAGGUCUUGGGAUCGUAAAGCUCUGUUAUUAGGGAAGAACAUAUGUGUAAGUAACUGUGCACAUCUUGACGGUACCUAAUCAGAAAGCCCCGGCUAACUACGUG
rnacentral:rRNA from 1 species